AAGAAAUAGAAGCACAGGACGCUCCACGGUGAAGGACACGCCCCGCCCAGGUUCCUACAAUAUAGGAUCCGCUCAGUGGAUAUCUUCUAUAUAAGAUCCUUCUCCUGAUUGACCCGGCAAGGAAUGGACAGGGACAAGAUAGCGGAGAGGAUAAUAAAUCUCACCCUAGAGAUCCUCUUCCGUAUUACUGGAGAGGACUACACAGUAGUGAAGACCUCUAGUGAGCGCUGUCAGGCCCCUGUGUCUGA